CACGCCCCGUGUUGGUGGCUGCACAAGGAUGCCAGUCAUUGCCCUCUGCGUGGGGAAAAAUCACAUUUUUCCUUGGCAACUGAGCUUUUCUGGGGCUCCUCCCUUCCCACAGCAUCCAAACCUCAUCUGCAUUUUAAGCCUCUUCUGCAGCUUCUCAACAAGUUGAUUAAUGGAAAUAAUUGGUCUCUCCGUGCAUCUGGAGCCAGUUGCCGUGACAGCAGUUUCAUUUGUGUUUUGUUACCAGGUUGAGCUUGUUUUCUGCAUCCCACAGCUUUGAGGUGCCACUGUCCCCAUCCCUGGGGCAGCCACACAUCCCUCAGGGCUCAGGGAGACAGGGCCCAUCAGGAUGAGCCCCAGCACCGUGGCAUGGGGCUGGGGCAGCCCCACAACAUGCAGGGUGAGCACCCAUAUGGUGGGGGACAUGGUAGCCUUGGGCUGUGGCGAGCUGGUGCCUUGCUCUCCCCUGAUUUUCCCCUCCCAGUGGAGGCAGACAUGGCUCCACCACCCACGAUGUGCAGACUGACGAGCCCAAGCCCUUCAUCCAAGCACCCUUGGCCCCACUCCUUGGUCCCCCACGGAGACCCCAUCAAAGCUGUGAGGAGUAUGAGGGGAGGACUCUACCCACCAUUAUUUUUAUUUUUUCCCCAACUUCUUGUUUAGCUGCUUUUGUACAUGAAUGCACUUUCACAUGAACAAAACCAUGGCUGUGUGGAAGAUUUGCUAAUGGGUGAAUUUGCAAAACAGACUAACCACAGACCAGAUGCUUUAAACCCUCCAGCUGUAACAGUCUGACAGCUGCUGUUGUAUUCAUGUCCUAGGAGGACCCUUGUAUUGUCCCCACUUGUGAUGUCUCAGCACAGCCAGGCCUUUUGGUGGGUUCCUUUGCAAUGGAGAUCCCCACGAAUCCCCUGCCUCCCCCCAGACCAUCCAGGCCUCUGGAAGAAAAGUCCCUGCUGUCUUUCACUUCAAAUUUCCUACAAAGGCUGGAAACUACCCAACGGUCCCACAGCUCUUCUGAUCACAUCAGGGCACUGAAUUCAGAGACCGUGACCUCCUCAAACCCUGCCUGGGAUGUUCACCCACCACACCAGCACCUUGCAGCCUCCCCAGGUGAGAAGGAUUUCCCUGAGCCCAGAGGAGAUGCAGCUGGGGCCUAUUUUCUAGCAUGGCUGCCCUUGUUUGUAUAAAAGGAGGAGGAAAGCCCAGCAGCUCUUGAUGGGAUAGCUCUGUUUGGGGGAAGACCUUUCUAUGAAGGCAGAGGUAUACAUGGACACAUGCUAGCAGACAAAAAGCAAGAGAUUAACCAUUUAAGGAAGCAAGCAGGAGCUCAUUCAGCAAUUCUUCUGCCUCGUCCACCUGGGCUCUGGGCCACACUCUGACUGCAGUCAUUUUCCAAACCAGGACAGAUCUGCAGACUUCCUCUUCAUUCCUUGACCCACUUCUAAAACUGCCUCAUUGUUGGAGCUGAGGAUUGCUCGCCUGCUCCAUCCCUGCCUCAAGGACAGGGCACUUGCUGCUUUUGUGUGUCAGUUUGCCCAUCUGUUAAAUGCAGCUAUUAAUACUCUUUCCUCAAGAGAUGUUUCAAAUAUUUGUAAAGCUUUGAGAUCUGCAGAUGACAGGCUUACAGAAGUGGAAAAUACUAAUUAAGUUCAUGGCAGUAUCCAAGCACAGGCGCGAGGGUUUAACAAUACACUUCUGUUACUGUUUACCCUGCUUACAGUGAAGUGCUUAUUGGAAAUGGUAGACAGGAAAAGAAACAGCAUUCCCACAACUCUGGGAAUACACAUCGCCCUUUCGGGGCACUAACCGGGCUAACAAAAGCAGGAAGGAAGAAAGCCAGCUUUGGAAAUUCUCAAUCCUCGAUUUCUCCUCUUUGCAUUCCUGCCUCCCUCUGGCUCCCGUGUCGUGCAGCCCAAGCAGUUAAACCUCCAGCACUUCGCAUGUAUUGCAAAACUUCUCCAAAUCUAUGGCCCUGUGCCAGGAGAUGCUUAAAGCAAAUUGGAACGAGGAUGCUUUGAACUAGAAGAGCCAUCACGAAGUAAUUCUGGUCCUGAGGGGAUGUUGGGGAAGCCCUGUUUUCUCUCAGAAGAGAUGAUUUUGGAGAGAGGAACCCAUUAGUGACUGGUCUUGGCUUUCCACCCCUCCAGCACUGGCUCCAGCAGGCUGUUUCUCCCCAUGGCCCUACCCUGGGGACUUGGAGUCCUGCAGGAUAGCAGCUGGGCACCCUGCUCCAUCCUCUGCUGGCUCCCCCAGCCCUGGGGGUGGGCAGAGCUGUGAGACCCCAUGUGCACAGGCAGGCAGCAUCCCACAUGGGGGGUCUG